rnacentral:miRNA from 1 species
GCUGCUCUGUUGCACACCCCUAGCAUUUUGCCCUGGUAUGGUGGGGUCAGAGCAGGCACA